CUAGAGUAGUAGUUAGGGGGUCAGAUUGUAAAGCCCAUUCCUGAUUAAGGCACUUGAAUUUAACAUUAAACUUACUGGAAGCUAGUAGAGCAUUCAGUGCAAGUGUAUGCAGUGGUCAUAUUAAAUUUACUUUAAAAAUCAAUGUGGAUAGGCAUGAGAGGAGUGAGUCUAGAGGCAAGAGGCAUAAUUAGGUGGCACCAUAAUAGUCCAGAAGUGAUCUGAGGCCUUAACUAGCCCAGUGGUUGGCAUUUUUUUGACUAGGAGUUUGUCUUCCUUCUUGGCUGUGAUGUCUCAAGUAACAAGGAUGUGGUCUUGUUCAUCUUUGUUUAUCCAGUGCCUUCUACCACACCUGACAUGCAGUGAAUUAACCUAGUAGAAAAAAAAAAUUCUAAAAGUAGGGGUUUCUUAAUUAUUCCAUUGGACUAUGAGAGUAUCUUAUAUCAUAUGAUCACUUAAAAUUCUUUAUGAAUAUAAGAAUUUUUUGUAUUAGAAUUGCUAUAGUGAUUUAAUUGUGAGUUUCAAUCAUGAAAUUUUAUAUGUGUGUGUGUGUGUGUGUGUAAUAUAUGAACUAGCCUCAAUUUACUCCAAUGUUGGCCUUUAAAAUAACAAUGAUCCAGUAGUUCUCUCUGGGCCAAGCAUGUACUUGAGGUUUUUUUCCAAGUAGUAGCAAUGAAUGAAUACAUUCUAAUACAUAAUUCUUACUCCAUUCCUGUUGUGUAAAAUAACAUGCACAACCAGCUUGUUUGAGCAAUUAGAACAUGUUAAAUUCAAACCUUCCUAUGGAUUAGCUCUUUCCCCACCUUGGAUUGAAGUCUCAGGUGAGCACCAUAUCUUUUUCAUUCAUGUCUGUACAAUAAAAUUAGUACUCUAGUCAUAUAUGGUCACGUGACAAUCUCAUUUCAGUGAUCAAAGUGAACUCCCAAUUUCAUAUAAAGUUCAAAGCUUCUCUUCUCCUCAUUUUGGUCCUACUUCCCAUGAGGAAACAUCCUGCUAUCCUCCUAACCACCAGCCCUGGAGUCUGACCCUUCCUUGUUGGGGCAGGAAGGAAGAGUGAGACGGGGCAGGCAUGCUCGCCAUCUGUGUUGGCUUGCAGUGUGUAUGCAGCUGACGUGUGGUUCUCUCACCAGAGUCAUCUUUUGCUUGAAUGCUUUAACUGCCCCUCCAUGUCACCAUCAAUUAGGACCCCAUAGAUUCUCUAUGCUAAGGUUACUUAUGCCUAGAAAAAUCCUUUCAGAAGAUGCCCUUAGCCAGCUCUCAUCUAAAGGACCCACAUUUGGUCCACAGAGCCACACACUCUGCUCUGUCAUCAGGAGUGCUGCUGGCCCUAAGUACAGCCGUAUCUUUUCACUCUGCCCCUGAGGAGGCGGUUCUUUUGCCUGACAUUUCUCAGGAAUGGACUGAACAAACACAGGUCCUCUCUGUCCUCCAAACCUUAAGAAAUAAAGGUGGGCGUCUCUGAGAGGGGCUCUCAAAGCCUGUCUUGUAGGCGAGGGGGAUGGAAAAUUACUAUAGCUUUCAGCAACUUCCUCCAGAGAAAUUCAUUUGUUUCUUUCAGUCCCUCCAAUUUCAACUCUUUGAGAUCUUUGAGGUAGAUUUCGAGUCACCAGGUGGUUGUAGUCCACUUCCUUUCAAGUCUUGAACAGGAGGAAUAGUGCCUCAUUUUAGAAUAGAGGAGAAUACGCCACCUAUUAUUGCUUUGUACUUAAUUUGGGAGGGCCUCCCCCAAAACUUAGAAAGGAUACAUCCCUAAUACCUUGUUACACAUGCAGGUGUGAGAUGUGUGUAAAACAUGGCCGUUAACGAGAAUAAAACUACUCUGUUUAUGGGGAUUUAAAUGCUUAAACUUGGCCAACAAUAUUGGACGUCAUUUAAAAAAUGUAGAAUCACAUAUAAACCAGUCAAUCAACUAAGUCAACAAAAAUUGCUCACCAUUUGUUUCCUAAAUGCUGGUGUUACUCUGGGUGCUUGAUGUACAAAAAUUAUGCAUACGGUUCUUUUCCUCAUGAGGCCAGUCAUCUAUGGGAAAAUCAUAUGCUGAAAUAUGUCCAAAAGUAAUCACAAUAUAAUUCAACAUCACAGUAGAGGGAUCUACAGAGAUCUCCAGGAGCACAAAAGAUAGAGCAUCUGAAUUUCAAAAAGGCUUCACAGGGGAGAUUUGAACUGGAUAUUGAAGGGAGAUAGGCCUUCCCUGGGAAGAAGGGAGGGAAGGGCAUUCCAGAUGCACACUGAUUGUGUAAAGGUAAGAAAAGGACAGUUGGGAUACUGUGAUGUGGGCAUAGUGAAGAGGUGUGGCUGGUACAUGGUGAGAUGUGGAUUUAGGGAUUGAAAAGCUCUGUUUUAUGCCAAAGAGUUUCAACUUCUCCAUACAGACAAUGGGAAAUUAUCAUUAUUGUUUUGCACUUCAAGUGUUUAUUUAAAAAUACUGCACACAUAUUGUAUGUCACUGUUUAAAGGUGAUCAUAUACUUAAAGAUUUUUCCCUUUUCCUUUUUCAGUUGGGUUCCCCCAACUCUUCUCAGUAUCUGCUCUCCCUUCCCUAUACACCUCUUUCCUUCCCCAAUUCGUGUGAACACUUACGUUGUAGCCUUUGUUUAUUUUCUCCUUGGUUACAUAAUCAUAUUCAAGUAUGUGUGAAUAUAUAUAUAUUCAAUAUCCAUAUACACACAACUUUUUUUGGCCAUUGUUUGCUUUAUGAAAGAACACUUUGCAUAUUUUUCAGCAGUUUGCAUUUCUUACUCAACUAUUCUUAGAGGAAAUAUCUCUACCUCCACAGGUGGAGUUCAUUGAAGGGAUGGACAUGACCCGAAUUUUAUAUCAGAGGUGUCAUGUUGGAGGAGACGAUGAAUUAAAAAGGUGUUGGAAACUAGAGGAGGAGGGUAAAUUGAUAAAUAAGCAGGUAACAGAUGAUGGGACCUGAGCAAAUGCAGUUUUGAUAAGAACCUGUUCUUAGCACAUUGGAGCCUCAAAUAAAAAAUGAGUUGCCAUAUAUAUAUAUAUAAUCUCUCUCUCCAUAAAAUGCCAAGGGCCACCAUUAUUAAAUUCUCAAAUUUUAUAAAUAGAUUCUUUGAAUGUGCUGCUUGGAGAAACGUAGGUUCAAAAUACCACUAGCUUUGCUAGAGUUUUUAGAAAGGUGCAUCAUUCAUCCACACACAUCCAUAUUUCUCUACUUCCUCCUUUAUUCUCCAAAUUUUUCUGCAAAAUAUCUUUAAUCUCAAACUUAUUUUGGAACUUAAAUGGCAUAUGGGCACACAGCAAGAGGGUGGCAAUCUGUGAACCAGUACACAGCCCUCAACAAGAACUGAAUUGUGGCAUCUCAUUCUCCCCCCAGUUGUACUGAGAUAAAAUUCACAUACAGUGUUGUGUAAAUUUAAGGUGUGUAAUGUGUUGAUUUGAACACACUUAUAUAAUGCAAAAUGAUUACUACAGUGGCAUUAGUUAAUUCCAGCAUCAGUUCGAAUGAAAAUGGUAUCUCACUAUUGUUUAAAUUUGCAUUUGCCUCAUUGUGAAUGAAUAUUUAUUUAUUUAUUUGAAUAUUUAUUUAUUUAUUUAUAAUAUUGUGGAUGGAUAUUUAUUAUUUAUUUAUUUAUUUAUUUAUUUAUAUAUGGAUUUAAAAUCCCAAUCAAGAUGUAAAUUGAUGCUAUAAGAGGAAAUGAAAAUUAGUGUAUACUGGAGAAUGAAUCCAUAAAUUUGGUAUAGCACCAUUUAUCUUCAUAACAUUUAAAUUUCUCAGUUUGCUACAUUAAGUCAAACUCUUACAGUCAGGAUUUAUCAAGGCAGUUGUAUUUCAGAGCUCAACUUGGGACACAGAACCUAUCUUUGAGGCAGAGGACUAUUUGCUUAUGAAAGAGCAAAAUCAUAAUUAAUUUUAAAGGCAGUGGAGAGAAGGUAAAGGCAUAAAAGGUGAUGAACUUCUUUUCUUCAUUUGAGCAAUUUGUUUGAAUUUAUAUGUUUUUGAUCUGUCAUACCUUCCCAAUUUGAAUAACUCUUUGUGUGGUUAUAAAGGUGAAUUAAAAUCAAUGCAAAAUACUGGUCUCAGAUGGCAGCUGGUCACAUCUGCAUGAAGUCUUUGCUUUCCUGUUUACUACACAACUGACUGGAAUGUGGACUGGAAAAAAGUGACCCUUUUAACAAUCAUCUACAUUCUAUGUAGAGUGCUUUUGAUGUAAAGAAGUACGGUGUGAUUUGAAAUGGUGUUUGAACUGCCCCUUAAAUAAUAAUUAAUUUUUCUUUUAAAUGAAGCUUUUGUUUUAAGUGAAAAAAAUUUUUGCUCCUAUGAAAUAAAAACAGGAAUAUAGGAAGUACAGGGUGGUCCAUAUAACAUAAUAGAUCACUAUAACACAAGACACAAAAUGGGAACUGUUUUUCAUGUAACCUACGCAAUAGUGGCCGACUUCCCACAUAACAGAAAAAUAAACCCUGGUAAGGAAACUAGUGAUUUUUUUUAAUUGAUUUUGAAUUUUAGAGAGGCAUUUUGAAGAGAAAAAAGAGAAAGAAGGAUGGAAGGAUAAAAAGAAGGAAGGAUAGAAUGAAUCAAUCAAUUAGUCUUGGGAUUUUGGGCAGUGGAACGGUUCUGGUUCAAACUUUCCUCCUACCAUUAUUAUUACUAUUAUUUUUUGGAGUAAGUCACUUAAACACCCCAAGUUUUGUUUUCUUCACAUAAGAAGUAGAGAUAACAAUACAUAUCUUAAAGAGUUUCUAUGAAAAUGAAGUGAGUGACUUUAUGCAUUGAGUAAUUUAUUCCUGACACACAUAGUAGCUCUUUCCUUUCAAAAUUUUCCUUUGGGAGUGUAGAAAUAUUUUUGGGAGUGUAAAAAUAUUUUUUUCCACAUCUAUAGAAUUAGAAUGAACUGUUUUCAUUGAAUGUAUUAUUUUGAACAAAUUCUGAUGCCAUUCCUAAGUGGCCCAAAACACUAAAAUUUUCUUGUAGGAUACAUUUUAUUCUAUACAGUUUAAACUUGGCAGCAUUUCUCCAGUGUAUUCCCAGAAUUUUAGUCUAAUGAAAUCUCCCUUAUAAAGAAGGUUUUCUUAAUCCCAUUCAUUUGGGAAAUGCUGAACUCUACCCUGUUUCCCUUUUGAGAAGUCCUCUGGUCAAGGAAAUUUAAAUUUAUUUAAGCCUGUGUUUCCUACUUUAUUUGGCCAUGGAAAUUCUUUGUAGGUAGCUUCUAUUUAUACGCCAUGGAAUAAAUUGAUCCAAUUUACUAUACCAACCCUAUAUGCAAAUAUGGUCAUACUUUUUAUUUUCAAAAAUUUUUUUGAAGGCUUGAUUUCCCAUGACUAGCAGGAACUCUCAUGUUGGGCCAAUAGCUCCAUCACUCCCCAUCCUACCUGCAUUCUCUUGAGUUGUCUAAGACCUCUGACACUUACUCAGUCCUAAUGGAGGUUUUUCUUUUUGCAAAUACAGAGCAGAGGGUGAACAGUAAUCCUGAUUUUCCUCUGCUGAAGACUGGUUUUGCACAGUCCAACAGAAGCUGGCCUAUAUGCCUCUCUUUGUUAGUCCUGAUAUUGAUCACUGGUGCCCUGUACUGGGGCACUAAUGUUAGAGUGCCAUUUUAUAAUAAUUUCUCAGUCACAGAUCCACAGAGUGCAACACAGUUUAGAGCGUCUGGCUCCAGAGUCAGCCUUGCUUCCUAAGCACAGAGGCUCUAAUGCUGCAUCUGAGUGUCCAGCUUGGAUUCCACUUGCCCUCUUAGUGAGUUCUUGCUUGGGGAUUUGGUGUUCUUUUGGACCAGGAGACCAUGGACAGACUCGACUUAGUCUAUUUUAACAGUCUUUCAAACCUCACAUUUGGGAAAUAGAUGGUAGAAUCUUUGUAGCUUUCUUUCCUGAAGUCCUGUGGUCUCUCUAUUCAAAUUGGUUGAACCCAUCCCUUGGGCUCUGGAAUGACAAAGAGUAUCUGUGAGGAGCAGACUCAUUAAGUCUGAUCAGGGUCAUAGUAUAACUUUCCCUGGGACAACAAUUCCCUCCUUACCCUAUAUUUUCAUAAUUGAGAUGGGUCAUUCAACUGAACCAAGAGAUAUCUAUUACAUGCCAACCAUGUAUAAGGAAACUGUUUAAGACUGAGAUAUAGCGGUGCACACAAAAGAUAAUGUUUUUGCUCCGUUGGAGCUUAUGUUUUAACGUAGAAAAUGUACAUUAAAAUACAUUAUUUAAUGUAUAUUAAAUAAUAUACAUUAAUGAUGAAUCCUUUGAAGGAAGGAUAAGGGGAUAUAGUGAUGGGGGUAGGACUUUAUUGUGUAUAGCAUAGACAAUGAAGUCUUCUCAGCUAGAGUCUCACGUGAGCCUAGAACUUGAGGAAGUGAUGGAGCCUCUUCUAGGCAGAGGAAAAUAUAAUUGCACUAAGGGAAGGUUGCAUGGAAUGUUUGAGGAAUAGCUAGUAGUCUAGUGUUACUUGGUCAGAGUUAGUAAAAGAGUGAUAGGGGAUGAAAUUAGAGAAUAUGCAGGGUAAGUCGAGGAGAUGAUCCUGAGUGAUAUGGGAAGCCAACGGAUUGUUGUCAACAAAGUUUUGACAUGAUUUAAUUUAUAUAAAGAUUAUUGGAUACUGUAUGGAGAAUAGACUCUGAGAAUGACAUGGUUAGAAACACAGAGAUACAUUUAAAAGCCCAUUGCAAUAGCAUAGUGACAGAUGACAGUGAUUUCAACUGGGGUGUUAGAAGUAUUAAGAAGUAGUUUGUUAGGAGUACAUAUUGAAGGUAGAGCUUAUGAGAUUUUAUUGAUGGAUUGAAUGUGGGGUAAAAAGAAAAGCAAAGGACCUAUUAUGACACUAAAUUUUGUAGCAUAAAAAAAUCAUAGGAGUUCCUGUCAUGGUGCAGUGGAAAUGAAUCUGACUAGGAACCAUGAGGUUGUGGGUUCGGUCCCUGGCCUCGCUCAGUGGGUUAAGGAUCCGGCAUUGCUGUGAGCUGUAGUGUAAGUCGCAGACGCUGCUUGGAUCCUGCAU
rnacentral:lncRNA from 1 species